GUUAAAUUACAGGUAACUUUUAGUUUUUUUAAUAACUUUUAAUUGAAGCUUAACGUCAAAUUGGAUAUUCAAUAACAGUUUCACAGAGAAGGCUUUAUAAAGGAGUAUACACUUUCUGCUGGCAGCGGUGAACAAAAGCGAUUUGAUUACAAAGAAAGGGGUCCGACGAAGGAUCACCUCGAGCAGUCGAUUUUAUCUGGCCAUGUAAUCGUCUGUGCAGGAAAGAAUAAGGGCAAUCGUUUCGACCUGGACAUAUUUUAUCAUAAUAAGAUAUGCAUUUAUCUUGGGUGUUGUUCAUCAUUCGACAACAUACGAGCUAAAAGAGCGCCUUGACUGUGAAUGGUAUUGUAAAAAGUACAACAAUGGGACGGCACAUGUCCUGUAUUUGGGUCAUGUCGGUGGUAUUGUCGGGAAAAACACAAAGACUGCAUCCCGGGUACACGAUAUCAUUGUGCCAGAGAUUUACAUAACACGGACUUAUUUAUUGAAACGUGCGCAGCAAAAAUAUUUUGUUUGGCAGGAGAAGAACCUCACAUAUCUUUACAACAGAGUGGCAAAGCAUCUGUGUAUUGCCGACCAUGUUAACGACAAAACAUGUACAAUGGUCGCCAUAGCACAUCGGCGGUUUUUAGUGAAUGUCCUACUAUAAAAACAAACUUGUGUGUGAAGUCUGAGCACAAGGUUGACUGUGACAAAACUUCAUAUUUGGAACUAACAAACACUGACGGAUAUUGUCGAUGUGACGCAAGAAAUGGUUAUGCAGCGCAAUCAGAGGAAAUGUGUUUUUAUGAAAAUAAACGCUGCUUCAGGAAGAAAUGUCCUGAAGGCAACGUUCUUUCUUUGAAUUACACUUGUGUAAAGGAAUGCCCCGCCGGAUUCGCACGACAAGAUGAAUCUGAUAUUUGCAACACACUGAAAAG